GAGCUCUGCUGACUCAUUGCAGCUUUUGAUUUAUUCCAGCUGGCAAUAAGAGGAGACAGAGUGUGGCUGGGAGGGGUGGAACUGGGCUGGGUGGCUGUCAGAGCCUUUGCAUGGAUGCACAGCCCUUGGAACUGUAUUCCAGCCUAAAAAUAGGAGUGCAUGGAGAUUUGGACAAGCAAAAUAAUUCUGCACUCACCUUCCAAAGCAAGGCACUGUUUACAUUCACAGGCUGCCCCUAAACAUCUGGCUGAAACGACUGAGACUGUUCAUCCAGUUUCUAACCUUAAAUAUAAACAUACUACUCUAUCACUA